CAGCCGCCACGGUAAUACGUAGGUGGCAAGCGUUGUCCGGAAUUAUUGGGCGUAAAGCGCGCGCAGGUGGUUUAAUAAGUCUGAUGUGAAAGCCCACGGCUCAACCGUGGAGGGUCAUUGGAAACUGUUAAACUUGAGUGCAGGAGAGAAAAGUGGAAUUCCUAGUGUAGCGGUGAAAUGCGUAGAGAUUAGGAGGAACACCAGUGGCGAAGGCGGCUUUUUGGCCUGUAACUGACACUGAGGCGCGAAAGCGUGGGGAGCAAACAGGAUUAGAUACCCCAGUAGUCCCUGUCUCUUAUAC
rnacentral:rRNA from 1 species